GUAGGUGACGUGCCCUGUGGUCGGGGAUAGCUUAGGGAAACUUAAGGUAAUACUCGAUGAUCCCGGAUGAUUUGAAGAUCGACCGGGCAAAGGUGUGAUUCCAUCACAGGAGCGGCUUGCGUGGUAUUAGCUAGUUGGUGAGGUAACGGCUCACCAAGGCUUCGAUGCCUAGGGGAUGUUAGCGCAUGAUCCCCACCACUGGGACUGAGAUACUGCCCAGACACCUACGGGUGGCUGCAGUCGAGAAUCUUCGGCAAUGGGCGAAAGCCUGACCGAGCGACGCCGCGUGUGGGAUGAAGGCCCUUGGGUUGUAAACCACUGUCAGAGGGGAUGAAGUGCAUGGGAGUUAUCUCCUAUGUUUGACAUAGCCUCAGAGGAAGCACGGGCUAAGUUCGUGCCAGCAGCCGCGGUAAGACGAACUGUGCAAACGUUAUUCGGAAUCACUGGGCUUAAAGGGUGCGUAGGCGGUCUUGUAAGUAGGGUGUGAAAGCCCCCGGCUCAACCGAGGAACUGCGUCCUAAACUGCGAGGCUA
rnacentral:rRNA from 1 species